rfam:Crassostrea gigas strain 05x7-T-G4-1.051#20 contig7658, whole genome shotgun sequence.
AUGCAAUGAUGUUUACUCACGAUGGUCUUCUGAUUUGAAUUCUGAAGACAAUGCCUUAUGGCUUUGCUGAGCAUAUUUG